rnacentral:ribozyme from 1 species
UGCCCAGCAACUCUUAUCCCCACCUCCACGCGGUACCGGCCGGAAACUAUGAGCAACCUUAGGGAAG